rnacentral:misc_RNA from 1 species
GAUGAAGAACGUAGCGAAAUGCGAUAAGUAAUGUGAAUUGCAGAAUUCAGUGAAUCAUCGAAUCUUUGAACGCACAUUGCGCCCGCCAGUAUUCUGGCGGGCAUGCCUGUUCGAGCGUCAUUACAACCCUCAGGCCCCCGGGCCUGGCGUUGGGGAUCGGCGGAAGCCCCCUGUGGGCACACGCCGUCCCUCAAAUACAGUGGCGGUCCCGCCGCAGCUUCCAUUGCGUAGUAGCUAACACCUCGCAACUGGAGAGCGGCGCGGCCAUGCCGUAAAACACCCAACUUCUGAAUGUUGACCUCGAAUCAGGUAGGAAUACCCGCUGAACUUAAGCAUAUCAUAAGCGGAGGA